rnacentral:rRNA from 1 species
UUCCGGUUGAUCCUGCCGGACCUGACUGCUAUCGGAUUGAUACUAAGCCAUGCGAGUCUUUGCAGUAAUGCAAGGCAUACGGCUCAGUAACACGUAGUCAACUUACCCUAUGGACGAGGAUAAUCUCGGGAAACUGAGCAUAAUACUCGAUAGAUCAUAAUGCCUGGAAUGGUUUAUGGUUAAAAUGAUUCGUCGCCAUAGGAUGGGACUGCGGCCUAUCAGCUUGUUGGUGAGGUAAUGGCCCACCAAGGCGAUUACAGGUACGGGCUCUGAGAGGAGAAGCCCGGAGAUGGGUACUGAGACAAGGACCCAGGCCCUAUGGGGCGCAGCAGGCGAGAAAACUUUGCAAUGUGCGAAAGCACGACAAGGUUAGUCCGAGUGAUUUCUGCUAAAGAAAUCUUUUGCAAGUCAUAAAACCACUAGUGAAUAAGGGGUGGGCAAGUUCUGGUGUCAGCCGCCGCGGUAAAACCAGCACCUCAAGUGGUCAGGAUGAUUAUUGGGCCUAAAGCAUCCGUAGCCGGCUCUGUUAGUUUUCGGUUAAAUCUAUGUGCUCAACGCAUGGGCUGCCGAAAAUACUGCAGAGCUAGGGAGUGGGAGAGGUAGACGGUACUCGGUAGGAAGGGGUAAAAUCCUUUGAUCUAUCGAUGACCACCUGUGGCGAAGGCGGUCUACCAGAACACGUUCGACGGUGAGGGAUGAAAGCUGGGGGAGCAAACCGGAUUAGAUACCCGGGUAGUCCCAGCUGUAAACGAUGCAGACUCGAUGAUGCAUUGGCUUAUUGCCAAUGCAGUGUCGCAGGGAAGCCGUUAAGUCUGCCGCCUGGGAAGUACGUACGCAAGUAUGAAACUUAAAGGAAUUGGCGGGGGAGCACCACAAGGGGUGAAGCCUGCGGUUCAAUUGGAUUCAACGCCGGG